GUGGUCUGAGGCAGAGACUGAAAGAAGAGGGAGGAGAAGAUACCAUGGGAUCACGCAAAGGAGUCUACCACCCACAGGUGCAUCUUGGGAGCUCUGUGGGAAUGGAGGAAGGCUUUCAGGAUGCCCUGGCCAGAUGCUGGGAUGUGGGGAAUGGAGUGUUCUGCCUGCACACCAGAGGAGGGCACUGGAUCUCACUGAUGGUUAUGGCCCACCAUGUCAUUGCUGGAAACUGAAGGCAGGACCUUUGGGAGAACAGCCAGCCAGCGCUCUCAAUCUCCAAGCUGUCUCUGCAGCUCAGAAGCUGUUGACUUUUAAUUAGUGCUUUAUUUAUUCUUUAGGCAUUGCACACAUGUAUGCACUACACUCUGAUCACAGCCAGCUCCCCUUCCCUGAGGGCUCCCCACAUGCUGCCCCCCAGCUUCCUGUGCUCUUUCAUGUCUUCUUUUUAAAUGAUCCACUGAGUCCGACGACUGCUGCUUGUCCACGUGGGUGUGGGCCCGUCCACUGGAAGUCGGGAGACACACCUGAGGAGAAGUUCCUUUUCCUUCCUCAGCAGCAGCUCACUGACAACAGCUCCUUGGCUGUGAGGCCUUGUGAGUCCCUCCUCCAUGUAUAUGGGAAUUUUUAUACUUUUAUUAAAAUUAUCCAUAUACUAGAUUCUGAUUACUGUUUCCCAUACCUUGUCUUCUCAGAAUCUUCCCCUCCCCCCGCCCAUCCAACUCCACAUCUUCUCUCUCUUUCAUUAGAAAACAAACAGGCCAAUAAACAAACAAACAAACAAACAAACAAACCAGAAUAAAAAGCAGACAGAGAAAAGAAAAAGAAAAAAAAAGGAAAAUACAAAUAGCAGAUGCAGA
rnacentral:lncRNA from 1 species